CCUACGGGAGGCAGCAGUGAGGAAUAUUGGUCAAUGGGCGAGAGCCUGAACCAGCCAAGUCGCGUGAAGGAUGACGGCCCUCCGGGUUGUAAACUUCUUUUGUCAGGGAGCAAUUGAGUCCACGUGUGGGCUUAGCGAGCGUACCUGAAGAAAAAGCAUCGGCUAACUCCGUGCCAGCAGCCGCGGUAAUACGGGGGAUGCGAGCGUUAUCCGGAUUUAUUGGGUUUAAAGGGGGCGUAGGCGGAAUAUCAAGUCAGCGGUAAAAAUUCGGGGCUCAACCCCGUCGUGCCGUUGAAACUGAUGGUCUUGAGUGGGAGAGAAGUAUGCGGAAUGCGUGGUGUAGCGGUGAAAUGCAUAGAUAUCACGAAGAACUCCGAUUGCGAAGGCGGCAUACCGGCGCCCAACUGACGCUGAGGCACGAAAGCGUGGGGAUCGAACAGGAUUAGAUACCCUGGUAGUC
rnacentral:rRNA from 1 species